rnacentral:lncRNA from 1 species
AAAAUUCCAACAUACUCGCAUACGUUAAUAAAAACAGUACCAAAUCAUGUAUAAUUCAAAGUGAUCACAUACUAAGGUGAUAAGAGCAAAAGAAAAAGUUGUUCAUAAACCAAACUAGAUCAAAGAGUGAAUCACAGCUCCCUCGCCCCAAGUAAGAGAAGAACAAAUGCUUUUCUCAUAGCACCAUCCAAUGUUAAGAAUGUUCUCUCAUCACUUGCUUUCUCCAAAAUUAGCCGUAGUGCCUUAAUUUGGUCAUUAAUAGACAAG